rnacentral:rRNA from 1 species
UAUUAUUUAAGGUCUGAUCUGCUCAAUGAGGAUUUAAAUUGCCGCGGUAUCUUGACCGUGCAAAGGUAGCAUAAUAAUUAGUUUUUUUAUUGAAAGCUGGAAUGAAUGAUUGGACGAGAAAAUUUCUGUCUCUGGUAAAUUUAUUUUUUAAUUUUACUUUUAAGUUAAAAGGCUUAGAUGUAUUUUAAAGACGAGAAGACCCCAUAGAGUUUUACAUUCUUUUUUGUAAGGAGUUUUUGGUUAUUAAAUUUUUUUAUUUUAGUAGUAUGUUUGGUUGGGGUGACUUAAAGAUUUAAUAAACUCUUUAAAUGGUUAAUUAUUGAUUAGUGAAUAUAUAAUCUGAUUUUUUCAAAUUUAAAACAAAUUACCUUGGGGAUAACAGCGUAAUUUCUUUUAAGAGUUCUUAUUGAAAAGGAAGUUUGCGACCUCGAUGUUGGAUUAAAAUUAAUUUUUGGUGCAGAAGCUUAAAAAUUAGGUCUGUUCGACCUUUAAAAUUUUACAUGAUCUGAGU